rnacentral:rRNA from 1 species
AUUGAACGCUGGCGGCAGGCUUAACACAUGCAAGUCGAGCGAGCGGCGGACGGGUGAGUAAUGUCUGGGAAACUGCCUGAUGGAGGGGGAUAACUACUGGAAACGGUAGCUAAUACCGCAUACCAUCAGAUGUGCCCAGAUGGGAUUAGCUAGUAGGUAGGGUAAUGGCUCACCUAGUCGACGAUCCCUAUCUGGACUGAGAGGAUGACCAGCCACACUGGAAAUGAUACAAGGUCAAGACUCCUACGGAAGGCAGCAGUGGGGAAUAUUGCACAAUGGGCGCAAGCCUGGUGCAGCCAUGCCGCGUGUGUGAAGAAGGCAUGCGGGUUGUAAAGCACUGUCAGCGAGGAGGCGUUACGCGCAGAAGAAGCACCGGCUAACUCCGGGCCAGCAGCCGCGGUAAUAC